rnacentral:tRNA from 1 species
GUGAUUUUAGUUUAAUUAAAACUUCUACCUUGCACGUAGAGAAUUCGGUUAUUUUACCGAAAAUCACA